GUUUGCCUUCCUUCUAGUCUGCAUAGUAUUUGUUUUUUUUUUUUUUCUCCUUCAUUUCAUCUCUGUAUAUUUCUGGUUAUUAUCACAAAGUCAGUAAGAUGACUUUUUUUCUUGACUUGCAGAGUCAGCCUGUUUGGAGGCACUGUCUGUGGUGAGUGGUAUCCAGAAACACUGACUCAGUGAAGUCAUGGAACAAUAACAAAGGUUAACUGUCCAAAGGAAACACAGCAAAUGAAAACAUUUCUGAAAUGCCUAUUGCUCACGCUUGAUUUCUGGAGGGGGAAGAAGAAAAGUAAAUUGCUCAUGCAGAACAGAGACUCUCCUUUCAUUUUCUUGUUCUCUCCUAAGCAGUGCACAUAGACUGCCCGGCUGUGAGGCUUAACAGAUGUGGCAGAACUGAAGCAUGGAAAGUCUGUCCACGGGAGAAAUGUAUCAGCUAUCUUGAGACGUGAGAUGCCAACAGCUAUGAACCUCACUCCUCAUCUGAUACCUGCCAUGGGAAAAGCAUGUGAAAGCAGACUCAAGUUUUUAAGGCUCACUACAAAGCCCAUUUACAGCAAAGGAGACUUUACAUCAAGCAUAACACAGGUCAGGCUGGAUUUUCAGUUAAAGGAUUGUGUAUGGAAGUGUGAGAUGUUGAUCUUGUCAAUAAAGUCUCACAGCCUCUGUGUGCAGCAGAGCAUGACUUUGGAUAUCAUCAGCAGAGAAUGUGUGCUUCUCCCAGGAGGUGGUUUGCUUUCCAGCCAUGAAAAUGCAGUGUUGGUAGUAGAAAAUGGAAACUGUGAAAAAUUACCAAGAAUGCAGAUCUAGUAGAUAUUUGCCUGGCAUCCCAUGGGCCUGCAGAGAAGUACAACAUAGGGGAAGAAGGUGAGAAUUUCACUGAGAAUGACUGUGGGUUUCUUCUUAAAUCAAGAUUUUAGUAAUUUGUCAUUAACUGUCUCAGCACAUGCAAAACUUUUUUUCUAAAAGAAAGUCUCAUUGAAGAGGACUUCCUCUCUUUGUUGCAGUCUCAAUUCUUGUUCAUCAUGUGCUGCGUCUUCUAUAUUACACCAUCUAGAUGUUUG
rnacentral:lncRNA from 1 species